UGGCUCCGCUGCCAUUAGCAUCUCCAAGCCGGGCUUUCAGGCCAUGGCCGAUCCCAAUGCGGCCGAUACCAUAAAAAUCCAAUAUUCUCGAAUUGACAAUGCGGAUCUCCCUUGUGCUUGAAGAGAAUGAACGACUUCUAAGUUUUAAUCAUCAAAUUUGGAUGUUGUUGUACUUAUUUUAAAUAAUACUUUUUAUUUACCACGUUAAAUAAUUAUUGGGUUUUUUU